GGGCGGUCGAAGCCAGUCAAGAAGAAGUCGUCUGCGGUUACUGAAUUUGGAUCCUUGCAUUGUGCCGGAAGAUGUUACUCGAUUCAUAAAGAGUAAAGAUUAACUCAGUGACGAAGGACACGAAAUGAGGAGGUUAGAUACCUUUUCCGGUGGGAUCUGCAACGCAGAAAUCUAGCAGAGGACGGGCGUCGAAGGCGAAGGAGAUGCAUGAUGUAUUGAUGAGGGCUAUUGUGAUGAGUAAAAUAUGAUUUGAAGCCACUGAUUUGGAAAUUUGAUGUUUUUUAUGUCAAUGAAGAGUUGUUUUAAAUUGUAAGAGUAUAAAGAAGCCUCUUUUUUAAUUAUGUGUUGAUGACUUAGUUUCAACAACCCCUUUUUUAA